rnacentral:sRNA from 1 species
UGACAACGGUGACACUGCGCAGGUCCUC